UGGCUCAGUUGGUAGAGCAUGAGACUCUUGAUCUCGGGGUUGUAGGUUCAAGCCCAAU
rnacentral:tRNA from 1 species